rnacentral:lncRNA from 1 species
AAAGAACUUGAAUCGGGUAAAUACGAAUGUAUGUUGCAAUAUUUGGAUCAGCUCACACAUAUAUUUGUAACGUGUGAUGAGCAUAAGUCACCAUCAGUAGCUGCGUAUUGUGCCAAUAUUAGAUGUGGGAACUUAAGUAGUGCAAGUACUGGGAAGCGCAACAUUGACGAGACCUCUUCCAGCCAUGUUCGGCAGAAGAGCUCGAAAGUUCAUGUGGCUCAGUCAUUACAAAAUGGCAUGACCCACGAGGAUGCAAUGCAAUUUCUUAAAGACCAUGACAUCUUAGGUGGUACUUUAAAAUUUUGUAUAGCCAAUAAGUUACUUAAAGACUAUCAAAAUCUGAGUACGUUCUCCCGUCUGGAAUCCCUUGAGGAAAGGAUCAGUUUCCUGGAAGGAACCUGGAAAUUAGAAUCUGAUGGGUCAGUUUCCUGGCAGUAACCUGGAAAUUAGAAUCUGAUCCCUCUUCCUUAAAGGUAAGCCAGUUUGUUUAGGUCUUCUGUAGUCAUGUCAGUUAUUUAUCUUGUUCUUGUGUUUUUUUGCUAGUCUAGUCUGACCUUGAUAUCUAAGGGGCCAGCUAAAAGCAAAUACAUGUCAUGGAGACUGCAUUCAGCCUUGGUUUCUUUCUGUCUACCUUUUGAAAGUAAUGAUGACUGUAUAUUGCUUUCUGAACAACCUGUUAUUGCUUUCUGAAAGGUUUACCCUAGAGCGAUGUGGUUUCUCAAACAAGCUACUUGGCAUUUAUUUUCUUUGUGGCAAUGUUCUAUGGAUGUAACUAUGAACUACGUACUAGUAUGCUGCCCGAUGCAGUGAUGUUCUCUUCUGGAGAGGGAUGCGGAUGCCAUUCAGCAAGCAAUGCCAAGGAAGAUUAGUGCAUGGAAAGUGUAUGGAAUUGUUCAUGCUUCAUUGUUGUUGUUUUGGCCUUGCUGUUUGGCCUGGUGUUGAGUUUGGCUGGCCCCGUUUGAAAUGGCCUUAGAACCAGUGAUGUUUAGCUGAUGAUACCUAGAUAUUCUGCUUUUGGUAUGUUGAAAUAUUGUGACUUGUGAUUUCUAAACUCCAGCUGAAUACUGCUAUUCCAAGU